rnacentral:lncRNA from 1 species
CCUGCAAUAACAUUCAUCCAUAUGGAGUCGCGGCGUAAUCUACACAACAUUAGAAGGUGAAACAACAAGUCUCACGAUUAUUGGCACUCUUGAUGAAUAAACUGACCUAUAUAAACAAUUCACAAAGUAAUUCACAGAGAUUUUCUUCUUUAUUAAUAUGAAUUGGAUGCAACAUGACCACUUUAAUAAUUAUAAUAAAGACAUUAAAUCCAGAUUCAAUUCUCAAAGGUAAGGCCACAAACCAUAACUUUUCCGCCAUAAUAGAACAAUCUGCAAGGUAUUUUCUGGCCUUGUACUCUCUCCAUACUUCUUGUGCGUAAACUGACGACUCAGUGAACACGUCUUCUCCAAGAAUGAAACUCUAUAACUUCUAUAAGUUUGGCAAGUCAGAAUAAUGAAGUGUAAUUACUUGAGUUCAUAGUCAUUACAAAUUAUUUGCAAUGACUUCCAUCUACCUAUCCAUCCUUCUUUCCAUCUUCUGUCGACAUAUACUUAGAUCAAAGAUAGAAGUAAAAAGGCAAGUGAAAAGUAACUUGAUAAACACAAAAUAAGACAGUUGAAUUUGAAACUUGAAAACCGAAACUUAUGACCAUUCAGAAUAUCAAUGAGCACUUGCAUGGUAAAACUCGAUAAGUAAAUCUCUGUUGGCAAAAGGAAAUUGCAUGCAAUAGAAAAAAGUGCAUAAAUGGAAAUUAGAGAAAGUCACAUAUAAAAGAACCAAGUGUAAGAGAAAAAAAAACUCCUUGAAUGGUUAUUCCCAAACUAAAAGUUGCAAAUUCCAUAUAAGAAAUUUGCUAUUUUUUUUUUUGUGUAAUUCGAAAAACAUAGUUAGUCCUUUCUACAACUUCUCUUUGUCAUAAAACUUCUCUUUCUCAACAUAGUUCGUACUAAUUUAAUAUGUCAAUAUAUAGAGGACCAACGUAUAUUCAACAACAUAUUUCGAACAGUAAUUUUGUCACUUAUGUUGAUAUUAGUUUAUAUGCAAGCUCAAUAACAUAUUCACACCUUUUAUCUACAUCUCUAACCAGCAGUCCUAAACCAACCUGAAGCCUAAAGUCAAUAGAUACUCUUCUUAUUAUUCAACGUAAAAGAGACACAUAUAACCCUCUUCAUUUCAACAGGGGGGAAGAAUAAUGAAAAUAAAUGAGAUAAAGCAUUACCUCCGUCUUUGAUGCACAAAAUGUCCACUUCAGGUGUUCAACAUAUGAUCCCUUACAUUACCCCUGCAACAUCUGAUGAAAGAAUCAUCUUUCAGGCUGCUCUGUAGGUACUUGUUUGUGCCCUUUCUUGUGAUCUGUAAAAGUCUCUAUUGUAUUGCACGAUUCAUUAACUUCAUGCAUUUUGAUCCUUCUUUUUGUCUCCAACAAAUCAGAACGUCUUCACUAUUCCCUCCUUCCCUCCCUAGAAUGGAUCAAUGGAUAUCCCUUUCUCAUAUUGGAGUUAUACAUUCUGUAUGCCUGAAACUAUACAGUUGAACAGAAUCAAGCUUGAACUGGAAAAAGUAAUGCUCAAUGUCUCAAACCAUAGAGAACUUAAAACUCAAAUUUAGAAAUUUGACUAUUAGACCGGUGAAGCCAACAGAGAAGAAUAAACUAAGGAUGAGGAUACUGAAAACUGAUCUAUCUAAGAUUUGGCGCAGGUUCUAGCUUCUGAAAAGGUAGAUCAGUAUAAAUGAAUAAGGAGACACGUAUUAUAAUGCAUAAUAUAUGUGUCUUUAUGAUAAUGAAUGAUUUGUUUCUACAUUUAUCUCGAUAUUAAGUUUCCUCAAAUUGCCAAACAGAAACUCAAUCUAGUAAAAUCACCUAUGUAGUACCAAAAUUCAAGAAAAUUAAUUUUGGGUGUAAAAGAAAUUGAAAUUAUGAGUUUUAAAUGAGGAAGAUUUAUAAGUUAUAGUUAUCAGGAGCAUCAAUUGACCAUAUCUCAAAUUUCAUUCAGAUUUAUAUGCAGUGUUUCAGUUGUAAGAUGCCCCCUUGGGUUGAGUUUUUUAUAAACUUUCUUGACAAAUACACACACACACACACACACACACAUAUAUAUAGUCCUUGGAGUGAACAAACAUGGGCAGAACACCUUGUAGUGUAUUAGCGCUGGUGGAAGAAUACUUCUGUUUAGUUCUUUCGGUCCCUUUACAAAACUUAUUUGAUUACUGAUAGAGAUGGAAUGCCUGAAAAAUGUUGUCUAAUACAAACGAAUAUUUCCAAUAAAAAUAUAAUAUUCUAUAUGCUUGCAUGGAAGUCUGAAACAUGAAAUAGGAUGCAGGGAAUAGUACAAUCAUGGUGCACAAGUUACAAAAUUUCAGUAUGUAUCAGUCAAGCAUAUUUACAGGAAAAUCACUAUGAGUUAUAACACCAAACAAAAAUAUAGAAUAGCUAUAUUAUCAGCGUACCUAUUUACAUGUUCCCACAUGUCCAACUCCAUAUUGUCAAUAUUUUUUCUUCUCUGUUUCUUCUUCUUUUAGGUUGAUGUAUUCAAAUUGCCAAUGCUUAAAAAAAGCUCUUCCGUUAUCACUUGCCAUCCAUGAGCAAGAGAUGUCAGUGAGGAUUCCUGAAAACAAAUAUCAAACAUCUUAUGAAUGAACUAAAAGGAUAAUUUCUCAAUUCAGCUUUUAGUAUAUCAUAUUGAUUCCCUGAUUAACUGUCACUUGCAAGGAAGAGAGUUGUUUACAAUAUUUUACUACAGUCAAUUAUCUCAACUUUUAGACACAUAUUUUUCAUUUUCUU